GUCUACAGCCAUACCACCCUGAACACACCCGAUCUCGGAAACUAAGCAGGGUCGGGCCUGGUUAGCACUUGGAUGAAAGAAACAGGGUGGGGGUAUGGAUU
ensembl:rRNA 5S_rRNA 5S ribosomal RNA